GGCUAGAGGGUGCUAGUUAAUUGGGUGGCAAAGGAUUUCAAGAUGAGAGAAAAUUACAAAAUGGCAUUGGGGACUUCUCCCUAGCUGAGGACCACCAACUGUUUCAUUUUAAAUCAGAGGAGGAAUGUGAUGCCAUUCUUCACAGUGGUCCCUAGUCAUCAUCGGUCAGCUACUAGCCAUGGAAUUGUGGGUGUCGGACUUUAUUUGGGGCACGAACAUGGUGAAAAGAAUGGUGGUAUGAAUGAGACUUUUGGGCCUUCCAAUCAAGUUUUGGAGUACCCAAAGACUGUGGGACAUCCUAGGAGGCUAGCAAACCCUUGGCGAUCAACGAUUUCACCGACCAACUCUAGAAGCUUGGUUUUGCUAGUGCUCGAAUGGAGAUCGAUGCCACCAAAUAGUUGAAAAUAGGUGCUUUCAUUAGGGAGAAAAACAAUGUGUUUUGGUAAACCCUUAUUUACUAAAACUUAUUUCCAUCUGCUACUGGUGUGAGAGGAUCAAGCACUCCAAUGAUAGCUACAGCCUCCCUCUAGGCAAUCACCCUUUGAAUGGUGGCGACCAUCCUCUCUGAUCGAAAAAUAUUAUCGAAGUCAGCCCAACCUAUAUGGAGGAAGUUGUUGAACAAGGGCCGGAGGCUGCCGACGAGGAGGGACUAGCCAUGUUGGCUUAGCCUUGGCUUGGCCCCCG
rnacentral:lncRNA from 1 species